rnacentral:rRNA from 1 species
CUGCUGCCUUCCGUAGGAGUCUGGUCCGUGUCUCAGUACCAGUGUGGGGGACCUUCCUCUCAGAACCCCUACGCAUCGUCGCCUCGGUGGGCCGUUACCCCGCCGACUAGCUAAUGCGCCGCAUGCCCAUCCCCCGCCGGAAUCGCUUCCUUUGGCCGCAGACCCAUGCAGGUCCGCGGCGUUACGCGGUAUUAGUCGGGAUUUCUCCCGGUUAUCCCCCUGCGGGGGGCAGGUCGCAUACGUGUUACUCACCCGUGCGCCGGUCGCCGG